UACGAAGGGGGCUAGCGUUGUUCGGAAUUACUGGGCGUAAAGCGCGCGCAGGCGGCUAUCCAAGUCAGUGGUGAAAGCCCGGAGCUCAACUCCGGAACUGCCAUUGAAACUGUUUAGCUGGAGUAUGAGAGAGGUGAGUGGAAUUCCCAGUGUAGAGGUGAAAUUCGUAGAUAUUAGGAAGAACACCAGUGGCGAAGGCGGCUCACUGGUCCGGUACUGACGCUGAGGUGCGAAAGCGUGGGGAGCAAACAGG
rnacentral:rRNA from 1 species